AGGCUCCUGAAUAAAGCAUUGGUGGCAGCAUUGAUAGAGCCUACUCCAGACUUGAUGUGCUGCAGUCGAGUUUUGCAAUAAAAUGCAAUUGGAGCACUGGACAAAAUAGAGAAACAACAUGCAACUGAGAUUUUGCACAGGGAUCAUCUACAUUUAAAUAAAAUGUCUUGUUUGCAG
rnacentral:lncRNA from 11 species